rnacentral:rRNA from 1 species
GACGAACGCUGGCGGCGUGCCUAAUACAUGCAAGUCGAGCGAACAGACGAGGAGCUUGCUCCUCUGAUGUUAGCGGCGGACGGGUGAGUAACACGUGGAUAACCUACCUAUAAGACUGGGAUAACUUCGGGAAACCGGAGCUAAUACCGGAUAAUAUAUUGAACCGCAUGGUUCAAUAGUGAAAGACGGUUUUGCUGUCACUUAUAGAUGGAUCCGCGCCGCAUUAGCUAGUUGGUAAGGUAACGGCUUACCAAGGCAACGAUGCGUAGCCGACCUGAGAGGGUGAUCGGCCACACUGGAACUGAGACACGGUCCAGACUCCUACGGGAGGCAGCAGUAGGGAAUCUUCCGCAAUGGGCGAAAGCCUGACGGAGCAACGCCGCGUGAGUGAUGAAGGUCUUCGGAUCGUAAAACUCUGUUAUUAGGGAAGAACAAAUGUGUAAGUAACUAUGCACGUCUUGACGGUACCUAAUCAGAAAGCCACGGCUAACUACGUG